UACGUAGGUGGCAAGCGUUUUCCGGAUUUACUGGGCGUAAAGAGCGCGCAGGCGGCUGGUCAAGUCCGAUGUGAAAGCUCCCGGCUUAACUGGGAAAUUGCAUCGGAAACUGAUCGGCUGGAAGGUGGGAGAGGGUAGCGGAAUUCCCGGUGUAGUGGUGAAAUGCGUAGAUAUCGGGAGGAACACCAGUGGCGAAAGCGGCUACCUGGCCCAUUCUUGACGCUGAGGCGCGAAAGCUAGGGGAGCAAACGGG
rnacentral:rRNA from 1 species